UACGUAGGGUCCAAGCGUUAAUCGGAAUUACUGGGCGUAAAGCGUGCGCAGGCGGUUGUGCAAGACCGAUGUGAAAUCCCCGAGCUUAACUUGGGAAUUGCAUUGGUGACUGCACGGCUAGAGUGUGUCAGAGGGGGGUAGAAUUCCACGUGUAGCAGUGAAAUGCGUAGAGAUGUGGAGGAAUACCGAUGGCGAAGGCAGCCCCCUGGGAUAACACUGACGCUCAUGCACGAAAGCGUGGGGAGCAAACAGG
rnacentral:rRNA from 3 species